rnacentral:rRNA from 1 species
GACGAACGCUGGCGGCGUGCCUAAUACAUGCAAGUAGGACGCAGUUGCGAACGGGUGAGUAACGCGUAGGUAACUACCUAUUAGAGGGGGAUAACUAUUGGAAACGAUAGCUAAUACCGCAUACUAGUAGAUUGACCUGCGUUGUAUUAGCUAGUAGGUAGGGUAAUGGCCUACCUAGGCAACGAUACAUAGCCGACCCGAGAGGGUGAUCGGCCACAAUUGGCAGGAGACACGGCCCAGACUCCGACGGGAGGCAGCAGUAGGGAAACGUCGGCAAUGGGGCGAACCCUGACCGAGCAACGCCGCGUGAGUGAAGAAGGUGUUCGGAUCGUAAAACUCUGUUGUUAAGGGAGCGGUACUUAACCAGAAAGGGACGGCUAACUACGUGCCAGCCGCCGCGGUAAUAC